CCUACGGGCGGCAGCAGUGAGGAAUAUUGGUCAAUGGCCGGAAGGCUGAUCCAGCCACGCCGCGUGAAUGACGAAGGUGCCAAGCAUUGUAAACUUCUUUUGUCAAGGGACAAAAUCAGGCUCGAGAGCCUGACCGAGGGUACUUGAACAAAAUGCAUCGGCUAACUCCGUUCCAGCAGCCGCGGUAAUACGGAGGAUGCGAGCGUUAUCCGGAUUUAUUGGGUUUAAAGGGUGCGCAGGCGGAGGGGCAAGUCAGUGGUCAAGUUGCGGGGCUCAGCCCCGUACUGCCGUUGAAACUGCAUCCCUGGAGUGCGCGAGAGGUAUGUGGAAUGCGUGGUGUAGCGGUGAAAUGCAUAGAUAUGAGGCAGAACUCCGAUGGCGAAGGCAGCAUACCGGAGCGCAACUGACGCUCAUGCACGAAAGCGUGGGUAUCGAACAGGAUUAGAUACCCGAGUAGUC
rnacentral:rRNA from 1 species